rnacentral:lncRNA from 1 species
UUCCAGGUGUUUCCUUACUCAGAGAAAAAUCCCAUAAUCGGACUCUCUUUUUUAACUUAAAAUUAAUUCCAUAUGGCUUUUACCUUUUGCAUUAAUAGUAUUUCUUUCACUUUUAAGGGUCCCCCAGGUCCCCCUGGAACUGCAGGAUUUCCAGGCUCUCCAGGUUUUAAGGGUGAAGCUGGUCCUCCUGGUCCUGCUGGUGCUAGUGGAAGUCCUGGAGAGAGAGGAGAACCUGGUCCUCAGGGUCAUGCUGGGCCACCUGGGCCUCAGGGCCCUCCUGGAAGAGCUGGAAGCCCUGGCAACAAGGGUGAAAUGGUGGGUACUCUUCACAUCACUGCCAUUGCUGUGCUGUGUUGGUGAAGGGUCACUGCUUAGACUGGGUAGAGUCCAUCAGAGUUGUUCUCUCUUCAUCUCUGUCUGUUGUUCUCUCUCUGCAGGGACCUUCUGGUAUUCCUGGUGCUCCUGGUCUUCCAGGAGGCCGUGGCCUUCCAGGUCCUCCAGGUGCAAGUGGAAACCCUGGGGCAAAAGGCAGUCCAGGAGAUCCUGGUAAGGAUGGUGCAAAAGGAGAUCCCGGCCCAAAAGGCGAACGUGGUGAAAAUGGCACCCCAGGUGCUCCUGGGCCUCCUGGUGAGGAAGGGAAAAGAGGUGCAAAUGGUGAACCCGGGCAGAACGGAGUACCUGGUACCCCUGGAGAAAGGGUGAGCUGUGCUACACGACCUUUGGAGCUAGGACAGGGACAGAAAAUUCUGAAGUUCAAAACACUUCCAGGAGAAAUUUGGCUCCAUGUAUCUUCUCAGGAAAUUCCAGAUGUGAAACUGGGUUACAAAACUUGGGAGAGUUCU